AUUGAACGCUGGCGGUAGGCCUAACACAUGCAAGUCGAACGGCAACAGGAAGAAACCUGCCUCUUUGCUGACGCGAGGGGGGCGGGGGAGAGAUAUCCGGCGGACUGUCUGUUGGCGGGGGGUAACAAGUAGGAAAAGUAGCGCUUAUCGCACAAAGUACCUACGCGUGAGAGCAGGGGCUCUGCGCACCUUGCCAUCUUGUAUGCCCAGAUGGGAUUAGCUCGUGGGUGGGGUAACGGCUCACCCAGGCGACGAUCCCUAGCUGGUCUGAGAGGAUGAGCAGCCACACUGGAACUGAGACACGGUCCAGACUCCUACGGGAGGCAGCAGUGGGGAAUAUUGGACAAUGGGCGCAAGCCUGAUCCAGCCAUACCGCGUGUAUGAAGAAGGCCUUCGGGUUGUAAAGUCCUUUUGUCGGGAAAGAAGAGAAGAAGGUUAAUACCUUGGCGUUUUGACGUUACCCAAAGAAUAAGCACCGGCUAACUCCGUG
rnacentral:rRNA from 1 species